UCGCCCUUGAAUACUCUUUCUCCCAAUUCUCUCUCAAGUUCUUCGGAACCCUAGCCCCCUUCUACAUUUUCUCACCGUACUUUCACGGGAAUCCAUGGCUUUACAGGCCAUAGAUGGUCUAUACUCACCCCUCUCAACCAUUAGACCUUGGGUGUUCAAGAUUUUGAAGUUUGACUUUAAUGGUUCUCUUUCAGAUCUUCUCAGAUCUUUAGUUCCAUGGCUUCUCCGGCCAUGCUCCGGCAUAUUCAAGCACGAGAAGCCUGAUUCCUGACCUCUUCGACCCAGGAUCUGACUUUUUCAAGCCUUUCUCAUUUUUAGAGUUUCUUCGAAAACCUAAGCUACUCGAGGUUCUUUCUCAAUUUUUUUCUUAGAUAUGUGAUGUAUUUGUCAUCUACUGGACAUUCAAAGUAUUUUACCCAAAUUUUCCUUUUCAAAAUCACUUGUCGUCGAUUUAGGGUUUCUGAAAGGUUGUUCAAAAACAUCUUUUCUGAUUCUUUUUCUUCUUCUUCUUUUCUUCAUGUGUGUUUGUCUAUAUCAUGCUCAUGUGUUUCCCUUUUACUACGCGUAUGUGGUUCUUCUGCUUUUCAUUUUCUACUAUUCAUGAUACUCCUGUUGAUUUGUGUUCUACUGUGCCUCUAAGACUAGAUUUGUAUGUUAAUCUUUAAUCUUUACUAUGUUUUCCUACAUGCUCUUCACUAUACUUUUCAGUAUUUUUCUACUAUAUGUGUUUUCUGUUGAGUUCUUUGAUUUUGUUUGCUCUACUGGAGUCUGUUCGUGUUCUAGCUGAAUGUGUGUCAUCCACUGUUUCUUAAAAGUCCUGUUCUGAACUCGCUUAAGUUUCAAACUUUUCUUAAACAUAUACUUUUAUGCUCUUAGAUUGACUUUUCUUUUACCCUGUCGCUUCAAACCUGCUCGUAUGUAUGUUGGUUUCCCAUGAGUCUCUAAAAGAAACCUUUUAGCCUAUUAUUUGUAUUCUCAUCUCUGCUUCAGAUUCAAGUUGAAACCCUAGGAUUCUGGGUUUUCUUUGGCAACUUUACUUUCGUGUCCGAGUUAGGGUUCCACUUUGGGACCCUGGACUCUAAGACUCACUAUGAGUCUACCAACUGAACUUGUAUCCCUUGCUUAUGAUUCUGAACCUUUCAAUGUUAGACUCUUUUCUAAGUAAUAUGACAACUCCUUUUGUUUGAUUUUUCUGCUUUAUAUAUGAGAAAUUCUUCUUUUAAAAGGGGUUUUGUCAACUACUAAUUAAUUCUAAAUUCCUUUAAUAAAGUUUAAUUGAUUGCUACUGAUUUCUUUUAAAUUAAACCUUCUUUACCUUUUCCUGACUUGGUUCAUUCCACUAAAAGCCUGUAAAAUUUGAUUUUACUAGUUGUUUGAUUGAUUCCCUUUCCUUAUUUUUUCACAAACCAAGUACUACUGGACUUUUGCCCUAAAUAACUUCUAUGUAUUUACCCUUUAUUGUACUGCUUGAGAAAAUAUUCUGAUUAACCCUUUCCUUCAUUGUCUUUACCCGUUUGAAAUCGGAGUCCCUUAACUAAAGGGAGAUUGAUUUCAAUAUUAUUUCCUUACCUGUUCUUACUUGCUUGCUGCACUAUUAAAGGGGCACGACCCUUCUAUACUUUGACACACAUCGAUUAUUGAACACUUCAAUUUCAAUAUUCUCACACUCUCAAUUACAAUACUCUUUCAAUACUCUACUAACUUCUGAGAUCUUUUGUACCGUUUGCUUGCAAUUUGGCUUACAAUACUUCUGCUUUCACUUAUUGGUUUCUCUGAAACUGGUAUGUCUCAAUUUUGAUUUCACCUUCUUCCCUAUGUGGUUACUUUACAGUUACUAUACUCUUGUCUCUUUUGUUGUUCAUGUUCUGUAAUGAAUAUGCUACUUUCUCUUUGCAUCUGCUGUUUGUUGUGAAUUUACCAUACCCUCACUCCCUUCUAUGUGUGUGAGUUAAGGCUCAUGGCCUGAUAGUAUCCAAAUUACUACCCAGGUCUGAACCUGAUCCUCAAUAGAUCCUAACUCAUAAGAUUUAGUUAACAUGCUGGUUAGGGGUGUGCCAGCACUCUUAAUUGCUGGCAUGAUCACCAUCGUGCCAUAAAUUUCCCUACCCCUAUAUACACUUACACUUGCUCUUAGACUCUCAGUCCUGCCCCCUCCUAUGAGCCUUGCCUUAGGACCUUGAGUUCCCCCUGAACUUGGACAUUCGAGGGUUGGCCCUUCCACACUACACUAUAAUCUAAUUUUUCAAUGUCUUUGGGGUGUAAGCACUACCUGGAGUCCAAUUGAGGCUCUUGGGAACUUUUACACAUCCCAAAUAAGAGAAAGGCUUUGAAAAUCUGAUCCUGGAA
rnacentral:lncRNA from 1 species